rnacentral:rRNA from 1 species
UACCGAGUUUACAACUCCCAAACCCCUGUGAACAUACCUAUACGUUGCCUCGGCGGAUCAGCCCGCGCCCUGUAAAAAGGGACGGCCCGCCCGAGGACCCUAAACUCUGUUUUUAGUGGAACUUCUGAGUAAAACAAACAAAUAAAUCAAAACUUUCAACAACGGAUCUCUUGGUUCUGGCAUCGAUGAAGAACGCAGCAAAAUGCGAUAAGUAAUGUGAAUUGCAGAAUUCAGUGAAUCAUCGAAUCUUUGAACGCACAUUGCGCCCGCCAGUAUUCUGGCGGGCAUGCCUGUUCGAGCGUCAUUUCAACCCUCAAGCUCAGCUUGGUGUUGGGACUCGCGGUAACCCGCGUUCCCCAAAUCGAUUGGCGGUCACGUCGAGCUUCCAUAGCGUAGUAAUCAUACACCUCGUUACUGGUAAUCGUCGCGGCCACGCCGUAAAACCCCAACUUCUGAAUGUUGACCUCGGAUCAGGUAGGAAUACCCGCUGAACUUAAGCAUAUCA